GUGUUCUUUUAGGUAUGCCGUAACAUAAAAAGUAGAUGCUUUUGAAAUUGAAGGAACUUGAAUGUUCCUUGAUUUUAGACUUGUAGGUGUUCAGAACUGUUAUCUAAUCACUGACUUGAACAACUAUGUUUUACUAGUAUGUGAAUGUGAUGAAAAAGAAGAUGUUUUCCUUCAUUCACAGGAGCUUUACUUCCAAUCAGCUCUAGUCAGGAUUGUGAACUGAAAGCCUGUUAGCAUUUGGAGCAUAUUUGAUGUAUUCCUGGAGAACUUCUUUAGAUUUGUUUUUGUCGGAAAGAAGUACAAUUUGUUCACUCCUAGACCUCUCCAUGGAAUGACACAAGGCACAAUACACAGCCAGGGGGGACGGUGAGCAAGCUGCUGGCUGGGACUGAGCUUCCUACUGAGAGUAAACCAUGACAACCAUAAAGAUGUCACAAAACUGCAACUGGAUAAUCCCAGUGCCUAUUUUUUGUGAGCUUGAGGAAUUUAUUUGUCAUCUACA